AUCAAAUUGGUCGUAUAAAUUUCGAUUCCAUUUGGUUGUAUUUUUUAUUAUAAUGGAUAACGAAUUGCGAGCGAAAAUUCAAAAUUGUCCCGAAAUCGCGCGUUCGUUUACUAUUCAUUAUUAUACUACUGUAGACAAGACGCGUCAUGUUAGUUAGAUCAAUUAUUAGGAUCUCUAAUAUUAGUAGCUCUAAGAAUUUUAUUUUUAAUUAAUUUUCCAAAGUAAUACUUCGGUUUAUACAUUUGAAAAUCAUGUGUAAAGCCCCGUUUUAUUUACUACCAUUUUUCCAAAUAAAGUAACUCUUAAUUCCGCACUUGCAUGUUACUCUAUUAUAUACGCAAAAAAUGUAACAACAAGUUGGAAGCUUGUAUUUAGAUAGCGUUACAUAUAUAUGGAAUGGAAACCAAUAUUUUGGGAAGAACGCAAUUCAGUUUCUUUUUAGAGUUACCAGCGUCAGAACACAAUAUUACAAAUUUUGAUGCUCAACUAAUUUUAGAUGAAAGUCUGACAGGAGGGACAACCAUAAUCAUCAAGGCGGCUGGUACUAUUAAAUACUAUAAUCAACCAACGAAGCCUUUCACUCAAAAUUUCGUUGACACGACUGCAGACAAUAAGUGAAAAAUAGCUUCAGAUAUUUUUCGUCUGCAAUAAGUGGUUUCAGUGUCUUAUGGCUGAAUUUUCUCACAUUGCGACUGCGUUGAAGUUAGUAGAAU